GAUGAACGCUGGCGGCGUGCCUAAUACAUGCAAGUCGAGCGAACGGACGAGAAGCUUGCUUUUCUGAUGUUAGCGGCGGACGGGUGAGUAACACGUGGAUAACCUACCUAUAAGACUGGGAUAACUUCGGGAAACCGGAGCUAAUACCGGAGAAUAUUUUGAACCGCAUGGUUCAAAAGUGAAAGACGGUCUUGCUGUCACUUAUAGAUGGAUCCGCGCUGCAUUAGCUAGUUGGUAAGGUAACGGCUUACCAAGGCAACGAUGCAUAGCCGACCUGAGAGGGUGAUCGGCCACACUGGAACUGAGACGCGGUCCAGACUCCUACGAGAGGCAGCAGUAGGGAAUCGUCCGCAAUGGGCGAAAGCCUGACGGAGCAACGCCGCGUGAGUGAUGAAGGUCUUCGGAUCGUAAAACUCUGUUAUUAGGGAAGAACAUAUGUGUAAGUAACUGUGCACAUCUUGACGGUACCUAAUCAGAAAGCCACGGCUAACUACGUG
rnacentral:rRNA from 1 species